UCCUGAUAGCUCAGUUGGUAAAGAAUCUGUCUGCAAUGCAGGAGACCCUGGUUCAAUUCCUGGGUCAGGAA
rnacentral:tRNA from 1 species